GGACCCCCAUGAUGUCCAGCACUGGGCUCUGAACUUCUGUGAAGACGUGGUGCUCCCCCGGGACCUUUGACACCCAGGGGUCUGAGGGGCCA
ensembl:snoRNA